rnacentral:rRNA from 1 species
AGUUUGAUCCUGGCUCAGGAUGAACGCUAGCUACAGGCUUAACACAUGCAAGUCGAGGGGAAACGACAUCGAAAGCUUGCUUUUGAUGGGCGUCGACCGGCGCACGGGUGAGUAACGCGUAUCCAACCUGCCCACCACUUGGGGAUAACCUUGCGAAAGUAAGACUAAUACCCAAUGAUAUCUCAAGAAGCCAUCUGAAUGAGAUUAAAGAUUUAUCGGUGAUGGAUGGGGAUGCGUCUGAUUAGCUUGUUGGCGGGGUAACGGCCCACCAAGGCUACGAUCAGUAGGGGUUCUGAGAGGAAGGUCCCCCACAUUGGAACUGAGACACGGUCCAAACUCCUACGGGAGGCAGCAGUGAGGAAUAUUGGUCAAUGGGCGAGAGCCUGAACCAGCCAAGUAGCGUGCAGGAUGACGGCCCUAUGGGUUGUAAACUGCUUUUAUAAGGGAAUAAAGUGAGCCUCGUGAGGCUUUUUGCAUGUACCUUAUGAAUAAGGACCGGCUAAUUCCGUGCCAGCAGCCGCGGUAAUACGGAAGGUCCGGGCGUUAUCCGGAUUUAUUGGGUUUAAAGGGAGCGUAGGCCGGAGAUUAAGCGUGUUGUGAAAUGUAGACGCUCAACGUCUGCACUGCAGCGCGAACUGGUUUCCUUGAGUACGCACAAAGUGGGCGGAAUUCGUGGUGUAGCGGUGAAAUGCUUAGAUAUCACGAAGAACUCCGAUUGCGAAGGCAGCUCACUGGAGCGCAACUGACGCUGAAGCUCGAAAGUGCGGGUAUCGAACAGGAUUAGAUACCCUGGUAGUCCGCACGGUAAACGAUGGAUGCCCGCUGUUGGUCUGAAUAGGUCAGCGGCCAAGCGAAAGCAUUAAGCAUCCCACCUGGGGAGUACGCCGGCAACGGUGAAACUCAAAUGAAUUGACGGAAGGGCG